rnacentral:rRNA from 1 species
CAACUUUCAACAACGGAUCUCUUGGCUCUCGCAUCGAUGAAGAACGCAGCGAAAUGCGAUAAAUAAUGUGAAUUGCAGAAUUCAGUGAAUCAUCGAGUUUUUGAACGCAUCUUGCGCUCUUUGGUAUUCCGAAGAGCAUGCCUGUUUGAGUGUCA